GCCGGGAGGGCGGCGAAUACAACACCCGCAAGGGGAAUAAGCCCGCCGUCUGUUUGCGGUUGCUAACCUCCCGGCAUCCCGCC
rnacentral:ncRNA from 20 species